GGAAAUGGGGACAGGACAACUGGCCUGCAGGGAUGCUGGGGGAUCACCAAGGUGACUAAGUGCCCAGCAUACUUUCUGGCACAGACAAGGUGCUCAGGAGGCACCAGGUGCCAUGUGCCUGUAGAUGCCAUGGGCUAGCUCAGCCACCGGUGUCCGGACAGUGUCUGUGGCCCCCAGAGCUGCCUGGCAGUAGGCAGGCAGAGCCAGGUGCACCCCCACCCCAGGGGACUGGCUCCUGGCCUCUGCCUCCCUUCCUCCUGAUAUACAGCGGGCAUUAGGCCGCCCAAAGGGGAUCCUGCAUCCUUAGGAAGAAAUAUGUCCUCAUUUUUCUUAAACACCGUUUCCACUGAGUGAAAUGUUUAGAAGGGACGCGCAGGGAGAACUUUAUUUCCUACCAGGGAGUUCAGAGCCACCAAGCAGAGCCCAUAAAGCACCCGGAGCCUGGUAGCUGACAGGCAGCCCAGCCCUGAAAUACAUUACUCACGGUGGGGAGGGGCUGCCAGGCCUGCCCAGACCCCUGGGACUGCCCCUGCCCUGGCAAGACAAGCAACUUCAAGACCCAGGGCCAUGGGCAGUGGGCACCAUGCCUCUUCUUCCCUUGAGCCCAGAUUGCCUGCAGGAGAGGGCCUGGCCUGACCAGGUGCCGAAGGAGUAGUUCUUCCAGCUUCCCACAGGCCUUUACCUCCCAGGUCAGGAAGACGUGGGGACAAGGGGCCCAGGUGCAGCUACAGGCACCCCCCUUUCUCACCCAGAACUGGCAGGAGCCCUGGCCUUCCCUAGCCUGUGCAGGGAGUGAUGAGAUUCAUGCCAUAACGGGUCCCUUCUCCCAAGGCCCUCCCUUCAUUCGAUUUCUGAAGCUGGCUGAUUUGAAUAUUUAUAAAUAUCAGUAAAUUAUUUAUUGUAGCAAUCUGCUGCACCAUUUUACCCAUCGCAGUUAACACUUUAGGGGGCUCUGUGUUAUGGGAACAGGAAGUGGGGGUGUGGAGGAGAUGGGGCAAGGGAGGGAAGGAGCCCCUGCAGGGAGGCUUGGGACUUCCCAGAGCUUGCCUCGGAGCCUUCAUGGGGAUGAGGCUGAGCCUCAGCUCCAGGUAUCUACAGCCAGGAUUAGCUUCCUCCUCUGUCAAAUGGGUUGGCACAGGGCUCAACUGGAUCAUUUUUGAAGCUUUGGUGAGAUUGUGAUGGACAGUCAGUUUUUGCUUCUCUCUCCUGCACCUUAGUUGGGUCUGCUCAGCUCAGAGACUGAUGGGUAGUGCUUGUUGAGUUUGGAGGCCUGUAGGAAAGCCGAGGGGGCCAUUUGCUGGCGCAAGGGAGAGGGCUGCAAGGAUGGCCCCAGGCCUCCUGCCUCUCCUUUCCCUCUUCCCUCUUCUGGGCCAGGUGAGAAUUCCUUGUCUUGGAAUCUUGGGCCAGACAUGGCACCACAUCUGCCUGUCAUUCUCCUCCUGGGCUCAGCUGUCUUUUCCCAGGUCCUUCCUUGCCAGGCCCUGUGCUUGGCCCAAGGAGGCGCCUUCUCACCUUGUAGCCCGGCAGCCCUUCUGUGAGAGAGAGCUUGCCAGGGCCGGUAGCUCCCAGGGGUAGAGCCAGGCUAUAUGCUCCUGACUCUGACCCAGGGGCCAGACUGUAACCUGCUGUGCCUUCUGGGGUUCAGAGCCACUGGGGCCAGGAGCAGAGUUGGUGCUUUGCUGGGCCCACCUCAGCUGCCCCUCCUGCCUGCCCCCCAGUCUGCUGGUCCCUGGGGGAGCAGAACAGGAGUCCUCUUGCCUUCCCACCCUCCUGCCCAAGCCUGCCUCCUGGGCAGUAUUGUUCCCAGAGGAAGUGUCCAGUGUAAAUAGAGCAGCGGGCAGGCUGGUGGCGGGAAGGAGAUGAAAGGGGCAGUGACAGGGCCGG
rnacentral:lncRNA from 1 species